UACGAAGGGGGCUAGCGUUGCUCGGAAUCACUGGGCGUAAAGCGCACGUAGGCGGAUCUUUAAGUCAGGGGUGAAAUCCCAAGGCUCAACCUUGGAACUGCCUUUGAUACUGGGGAUCUCGAGUCCGGAAGAGGUUGGUGGAACUGCGAGUGUAGAGGUGAAAUUCGUAGAUAUUCGCAAGAACACCAGUGGCGAAGGCGGCCAACUGGUCCGGUACUGACGCUGAGGUGCGAAAAGCG
rnacentral:rRNA from 1 species